GACGAACGCUGGCGGCGUGCUUAACACAUGCAAGUCGAACGAGUGGCGAACGGGUGAGUAAUACGUGAGUAACCUGCCCUCUUUUUGGGAUAAGCCUUGGAAACGGGGUCUAAUACCGGAUAAAGGGGGAUGGGCUCGCGGCCUAUCAGCUUGUUGGUGGGGUGAUGGCCUACCAAGGCGGUGACGGGUAGCCGGCCUGAGGGGGUGAACGGGAACAUUGGGACUGAGAUACGGCCACGACUGCGACGGGAGGCAGCAGUGGGGGAUAUUGCACAAUGGGCGAAAGACGGAUGCAGCUACGCCGCGGGGGGGAUGAAGGCUUUGGGGUUGUAAACCUCGUUAGCGAUCGAAAGGGUAGGUGGAGAAGAAGCGCCGGCUAACUACGUGCCAGCAGCCGCGGUAAUAC
rnacentral:rRNA from 1 species